rnacentral:rRNA from 1 species
UACAGAGGUCUCAAGCGUUGUUCGGAUUCAUUGGGCGUAAAGGGUGCGUAGGUGGCGCGGUAAGUCGGGUGUGAAAUCUCGGAGCUUAACUCCGAAAUUGCAUUCGAUACUGCCGUGCUCGAGGACUGGAGAGGAGACUGGAAUUCAUGGUGUAGCAGUGAAAAUGCGUAGAGAUCAUGAGGAAGACCGUGGCGAAGGCGGGU